CAUGUUACAUACACGUGUUUACAUAAAUUCUGUAGUUAAUUUCCUGUUUAUUAUCAUUCAGGUACUACUAGCUUUUUAAUAUUAAAACAGUUGCUGAUAUGAAGGAGUUAUUACUGCAUCUUACCCAAAUAUUAGUGCAUCGUUUCCCUUCCUUCUUCCCCUAAAUUUCUUGAAAAAAGUAAAAAGGCAAUUUAGGAGCAACUAUUAUACUAUGCUUCUCUGGUCUGCUUGGCUUUUACAUGUUGUAUUAUUAAUUCAUGGUAACAGCAAUGGUGAGGUCUAUCCCGAUGGGAUCUCUGCUGUAGGUUCGUGUCGUUGGAAACGCCUCACAGAACAAACUUGUGGUUUAGUUUUACCCAUUGAACUACCUGUUAGCUCUGUGGGAUAAAACUGCAAGACAAAUCUUCAUUUGCCAUUUGAGGAAUAAAAGUAAUGCAUUAUGUUCUCCUUCAGGUACUGACUUUUGCAUUUGACACGUGAAAAGUGGUGCAAAUGGAGAAGCUUGGUGAUUUGGAAUACAGAACAGAGGGAACUCUGUUACAAAAGGAUUAGCUGCAGAAGAAGAUAAUGACCUGUUUGACUGCCUGUAGUGUCACUUACUGAGUCGCUGAACAUCAGAGGGGUGAAAAACAAUGCCUGAGUGCUGCCAGAGUAAGUCCAAAGGUCCUGCUGUGAUGUUGCUGCACAUUUAUUGCAAGGAAGAACAGAACAGCUCUUACAUACCGAAAGGAUGCUAGUGUUACUUGCAGUAAUGUCAUUCUAACUUACUGCUCUGAAAACUGAAAUAGUGUGUUACCAACUGCUUUUCCCUCACUGCUCCAUUAUUGAACUGUAUUCAGGCUUGGGGGUGUUCAUUCUGUACACAUCACAGCAUUUAAAUAAAAUGUCUGAAAGGAU